rnacentral:misc_RNA from 1 species
AUAAUGAUUAAGAAUUCUGGACAUACAAAUUAGCCGUCCGUCAGUUAGAAAUGUGUUGGAUGAUGAAAAGCACACGUUGGCUCUUUUGCGCUACCAGACUUAAUUGUGAUUGAAAAAUCACCGCUGCUCAGCGUUAUGAGACAUAAAGGUAAAGAUUUUAUUCAAGAUCAUUACAAAUUGCGGUGGUACCACGGUAGAGCGUCCGCACU